UACGUAGGGUGCAAGCGUUAAUCGGAAUUACUGGGCGUAAAGCGUGCGCAGGCGGUUUUGUAAGUCUGACGUGAAAUCCCCGGGCUCAACCUGGGAAUUGCGUUGGAGACUGCAAGGCUAGAAUCUGGCAGAGGGGGGUAGAAUUCCACGUGUAGCAGUGAAAUGCGUAGAGAUGUGGAGGAACACCGAUGGCGAAGGCAGCCCCCUGGG
rnacentral:rRNA from 1 species